rnacentral:rRNA from 1 species
GACGAACGCUGGCGGCGUGCCUAAUACAUGCAAGUAGAACGCUGAAGAGAGGAGCUUACUCUUCUUGGAUGAGUUGCGAACGGGUGAGUAACGCGUAGGUAACCUGCCUUGUAGCGGGGGAUAACUAUUGGAAACGAUAGCUAAUACCGCAUAACAAUGGAUGACACAUGUCAUUUAUUUGAAAGGGGCAAUUGCUCCACUACAAGAUGGACCUGCGUUGUAUUAGCUAGUAGGUGAGGUAAUGGCUCACCUAGGCGACGAUACAUAGCCGACCUGAGAGGGUGAUCGGCCACACUGGGACUGAGACACGGCCCAGACUCCUACGGGAGGCAGCAGUAGGGAAUCUUCGGCAAUGGGGGCAACCCUGACCGAGCAACGCCGCGUGAGUGAAGAAGGUUUUCGGAUCGUAAAGCUCUGUUGUAAGUCAAGAACGGGUGUGAGAGUGAAAAGUUCACACUGUGACGGUAGCUUACCAGAAAGGGACGGCUAACUACGUG